AUGCUCACUUCGACAGCACAUAUACUAAAAUCGGAAGGAUACAGAGAAGACCCACUGGCCACUGUGCAACGGUGACACAUAAAUUUGUGAAGCGCUCCCUAUUAAA